UCGGCAGGGAAGAUGAUGACGGUACCUGCAGAAGCAGCUGCGGCUAACUACGUGCCAGCAGCCGCGGUAAUACGUAGGCAGCGAGCGUUGUUCGGAGUUACUGGGCGUAAAGGGUGUGUAGGCGGUUGUUUAAGUUUGGUGUGAAAUCUCCCGGCUCAACUGGGAGGGUGCGCCGAAUACCGAAUGACUUGGAGUGCGGGAGAGGUGAGUGGAAUUCCUGGUGUAGCGGUGAAAUGCGUAGAUAUCAGGAGGAACACCGGUGGUGUAGACGGCUCACUGGACCGUAACUGACGCUGAGACACGAAAGCGUGGGUAGCAAACAGGAUUAGAUACCCUGGUAGUCCACGCCCUAAACGAUGCAUAUUUGGUGUGGGCAGUUCAUUCUGUCCGUGCCGGAGCUAACGCGUUAAAUAUGCCGCCUGGGGAGUACAGUCGCAAGGCUGAAACUCAAAGGAAUUGACGGGGGCCCGCACAAGCGGUGGAGCAUGUGGUUCAAUUCGACGCAACGCGAAGAACCUUACCUGGGCUCGAACGGCUGAUCAACGGCGGUGGAAACAUCGCUACCCCGCAAGGGGGUUCAGUCGAGGUGCUGCAUGGCUGUCGUCAGCUCGUGUCGUGAG
rnacentral:rRNA from 1 species